rnacentral:tRNA from 1 species
GGGCGGGUGGCGGAAUGGCAGACGCGCCGGCCUUAGGAGCCGGUGUCGAAAGACGUGCGAGUUCGAGUCUCGCCUCGCCCACCA